UACGUAGGUGACAAGCGUUGUCCGGAUUUACUGGGCGUAAAGAGCGCGCAGGCGGUCGAUCAAGUCGAGUGUGAAAGCCCCCGGCUCAACUGGGGAGGGUCAUUCGAUACUGAUCGACUCGAAGGCAGGAGAGGGUAGUGGAAUUCCCGGUGUAGUGGUGAAAUGCGUAGAUAUCGGGAGGAACACCAGUGGCGAAGGCGGCUCACUGGACCGGAACUGACGCUGAUGCGCGAAAGCGUGGGGAGCAAACGGG
rnacentral:rRNA from 1 species